rnacentral:lncRNA from 1 species
AGGAUACAUGAUGUAACCCGAUGACUUUUCAACCUUUUCAGCUCUUCCUUCUCCAUUUACUAUUUUUCACCUUAAACAUUUCCUUUUUAAGUAGUUUUAAGACCUAUAACUACCUCUGGAACAGUCAGUAUGGGAGAACUGAGGUUAACACACAGUGCUGGAUAUAAUUUCAGUCAAAGACAAUCCUCCUUGAAAAAAUUUAUAUUUCCAUAUAAAUCCAUAUAAAGUAUAAAUGUGGAUACUAAGACAAGAAAUAUUUUCCUCUAAGGCCUUACAGCUAGAGAAGUAGUCCAUCUGGUGUUGAAUGCAAGUGGGUGUGAUACCAGAACUGACAUUUUAACCACCAUUCUACUGUCUUCUGGAUUUACUUGCUCUAUGCAGUCUUAUUAGGUAAAUAUCAUUGGGCUUCUUUGAAAUACUGAAAAACUGGGAUAUUACUAACUAGGUGGUUAGGCUAACCAUUUCUCCAGUUCAGAACUGUAGGGUGGGGCUAAUGACUGGUUUUGUAUAAAAAAAGAACAUAAGAAUUUUAUGUUGUGAUGUUAUAAUUGAUUAUAGCCUCGAGUAGCUCAGAAAUUUUCUUUUUAUAAAUAAUGUACUAUCAAUCUAUCCUUCAUUUAGUGAACAAAUGACUUUAUUUAUUUAUUUUUUUUUAAAGAAAGAGUGGGAGAGAGAGAGAGAGAGAAUUUUUUUUAAUAUUUAUUUUUUAGUUCUCGGCGGACACAACAUCUUUGUUUGUAUGUGGUGCUGAGGAUCGAACCCGGGCCGCACGCAUGCCAGGCAAGCGCGCUACCGCUUGAGCCACAUCCCCAGCCCCCAACAAAUGACUUUAAAGUAGUCAGUUUUUCAAAUUUUUAUUUUUGUACUUGUGACUUGUUUGUUUACUAAACAUUUUAAGAUUUCCCUUUACCAGUAUCAGAUUAUCUCCUAGAGUUUUUUAGGAUUUAUGUUAAAUUAUUUUUAAUAAAUGGAGGAAGGCUGUUAUAUUUUAUCUGCAACUAUUAUGGUUUUACAUGGAAUUCAAUUUUAUCAUCUUAACUUUUUCUUUCCAGAUUGGGAGUUCUUAUUCCUUGAAGGUAAAGGCCACUUUAUUUCUGUGAAUACUUCUUAGUUGCCCUGUUUUGUACCUUCCUGCUUUCUUUUAUGUCUUCAGAGUGGCUACUUACUAGAAGCUCAUGAAGGUUAGGUGUAUUUAUAACCAUGUUUGUCUGUAGUGUUGAUUAUCUUUUCUAUAAUGCCUUCCUGAUUAGGAAGUGGUCAUUAUUGUUCCCAUUUCACUUCAUAACUCAUGUGAUUUACCUAGGCUAGGGUUAUGGAAUAAAGAUAAAACAGAACUAGAACUUCCUGAUAACUUUUCACUCACCUUAAUUCCUAGAGAAAACCUAUAGUGAUAUGCAUAAACAGAGGUAAAAAGCACCCUGAUGUACUUUGGAAAAAUCUGUUCUGUGAUAGUAACAGUCUGUAUAUAGUACAUGUGUGUGUAUAUCUGUGUACAUGUGUGUAUAUAUAUGAUUAAUAAACAUCCAGGAUAGCAGAACUGGGACUUAAUGACCAGAAAAUAUUAAAACCAGGCUGGCACUAAUCAUAAUUAGCAAGCAACAAAGAUUAACCAGCCAACUUCAGAAUUCCAAAUAGCUAACUAACAAGGUACCCACAGUUUUGCAGUUCCAUCUAAUUGUUUUGUCUAGGAAAUUUGUAAUUACCGAUUCAUUGCUAUUCAAAGUCAGUGUACUAAUAAUACCAAUAAUCUUCAGGCCAUUUCAGUUGCCUUUUUGCUCCCAGUCACUUAACUUCUGACACAGAAGUAGUAAAGCCCUCAAAACUUCUAGCUUUUGAAUUGUUUGAACCACAAUUCUAUAUCUUUCCUUGUCCUGGGUAAUGCCUCCUUUCUAUGUAAUACUUUUGUCCUACUUUAGGAACUUCUUCCACUUGUAAGGCUUUGUAGAUUUUAUAUCUUCCUAAAUCAUACCUCUAGCCAUAAUCUUUUCACUCUCCUAUGUACCUCGAGAUCAUUGAAACUUUGAUAAAAUUAAAAAUAGUUACCAGCAUUUGUUCACUUAAAUACUUAGUGAAUACGUAUGUUCCUAGCACUGUGGAGGCAUGUGGCUACAGGGGGAGCAUCUGGCAAAGGGGACAAAACCUUCAAAAACAACCAUGAAAGAACUGUGUGCUUUUAGAGCAUCUUUGUGUGGUGAUGAGGAUGGAACCCAGGGCUUUUCACAUACUAGGCAAGCACUCUAGCCCCUGGGAACACUCUGCAUCCCACAGACUGCAGUCUUCUAUUGGGUUAUGCCAGUUCUUCUUGAUGAUGUCUUUCCCAUAAUUCCUGCAGUCAUUAGUUCAGUAUCCUCAGAUGGUUGUAUUUAUAUUUUUCUUGUAGGAAAGUGACUUGGAACCAAUGCAGACACAAAUACCAACCAGCCAUAAGAAAUAACAGCUGUCCUUUAGUACUUGUUUGGAAUUCUAAUCAGUUGAUGAAAAAAGUUGCAUUAAAAGGUUCUGGGAAUUCAGUAUUUCAUUUAUUAUGACACCAUUUAUAUCAGAUUCUGACUUUAAUUUUAGAGGACCACUUUAUGCUAGAUAGAAAGUACUGAAAAUAUAGCUGGUGAGGAAGAUAGUCAUUCCUCCUUUGGAGCUAAUGUUAAAGAAGACAAAAUUAAAUCUUUUAGUUUGCUUGAUGUAUCCCAACAUCUAAGACUUCCAGGUUAGGUAGCAUUGCUAUGAGCCUUAAAAGUCUAAAAGUCAGUUCCUAGAUUUUCCUAAAUAUCCUUUUUCUUAAAUAUUCUGCCUAAUCUCUCACUAUAUUUGUCAUACAAAGUUAUAAUAAUUAUCAGCAAACACCAACGUGUCCGUUAUGUCAUGAUGUCUAAUCUAAAUUCUUGAAAUUUUAGACCCUUUAUAUAGUUUGCUAGGGUCUUCCUUUCAGACCUUCUUUAUCUUGUUAAACUGAUUGCAGUUCUGCAUAAUGCUUUCCUCUUAGGAAGGCUGUACUAACUUACUUGCUCACACCCUUAUCCACCUCUUUACUCAUUACUUCCUAGCAGUUACUUUGGAGAUUAUUCCCUUUUCUUAAAACAGGAGGAUUGGAAGGUAAUGUCAUAACAGGAAAAUGAUAUCUAGGCUCCACCCAGUGGCCCUCUUCAAGGAGCAUUUGGAAACACUUAAGUGAUGGGCAACAAAUUUGGACAGAACUUUACUAUCUAGAUGUUGUGGGUAACAAAAUCUGUAUGUAGAAAAUGUAGAAGGGUCAGCAUUUAGUCAUAGGAGAGUUUGAGGGAUUUUAAGACCCAACCUAAUGACUCAAAAGGAACUUGGAAGAUUUCUCUGCUCUUCAUCAGCAUGGUGUAGUCUUGCUUCCCAGUUUUUCAAAAUCCCCAUUCCAUGGAAGUUGGCCAAAUGGCAGAAAAACAUCCUAGUUGUCCAGUCCUAGCCUACUCGUAAAAAUUAAGUGGUGGGUACAUAUAUGCUGUUGUAUAUUCUGAAAGCAAAAGCACUGUAAAUAUUGUGAUCUGUCCAUAUUGCCAUAGUUAUCCAUUACUGUGGGCAGAGUGUUGGGUAUGGAGCCCUUUCCUUAAAUCACAGUGAUAAACUCCUUUAUAGUGUGUUACAGUUUUUAUUUUGUUUUCCAGCUAUUUCCUAGGGAAAUUGAGUACAAAAAAAAGCUUCUUGAUAUUUUGAACUUGAUAUCUAGUCAGCCUCCCCAUUUAUAAAAAGAGCUCCCAUUCAUUGAACUCCUACUGUGUGCUAGGCACAUGCUUUAUAUUGACUUUGACAUUCAAAAUAACCCUGAGUGGGGCUGUGGCUGUGGCUCAGUGGUAGGGCGCCCACCAUGCACGUGUGAGGCCCUGGGUUCGAUCCUCAGCACCACAUAAAAAUAAGUAAAGAUAUUGUGUCCAUCUACAACUAAAAAAAUGUUUAAAAAAAAUAACCCUCAGUUCGAUAGUAGUAUCCCUGUUUGACCAGCAGGAAAACUGAUGCCUUAUAAAGAUUGAUACUUAUAAAGCUGGGUUGUGACGAAGCAAGUACUGGAACUAAGAAUUGACCUUUCUGUCUCCCCCCCGCUUAAUCUCAAGUACACAUUAAGUUUUAUAGAGGUAGAGACAAAGCAUUUUCUUAGGUUAAACUUGUGGGGAGAAGACAAAACUGAAAAAACCCAAAAGGUUCGUGUCUUUUAAAUUUAAUUUUCUCUUGUAUGCUUCUGUUGCCCCUGACCUUUGCAUUGUACAAUAUUUUAACACAUUUUGUAAUUUGAUAUAUGUGUGGUUCUUUGUAUGUACAAAAACUUAGUAAUUUUUUAGAGAAAAAGAAUAAAAAAAGUUCAAGUAGGGUGGGAUUGUAGUUCAACAGUAGAACACUUGCCUAGCAUGAGGCUCUGGGUUUGAUCCCCAGCACUACAUAAAAAAUAAAUACUCUAAAAAAAAUUUUUUUUAAAAGCGCAAGUAUAUAGCUUGGUGGAUUUGAUUGUCCCCUCAGCAAACCUGAAUAUUCAAUUCACUCCUCAGGAUGCAGACACUAAAUGAGAGCAUAGUGAUUCAGUGCUAGAGUGCUAGCCUGGUGUGCUCUAGCCUGGUUUGAUGCCCAGCACUGGGGGAAUAAAGAACAUAUGAUCUUUCAUUUCUUUUUAGUGUAAACAGUGUCACUUGGUGCCCAAGAGGAGCACUAUGUUACAUUUUAGGUGAGCUAUUUCUAGGUAAAGAGAGUUUUAAAGCGUUUACCUGAACCUCUGAAAGUUGAUUAUAAUUGGAUACAUUAUCAAAACCCAAACUUAAAUUCCAGCCAUUCAGGGAGGGAAACUUUCUGAGGGAGACCCUUGCUUUCACCAUGAAAAAUGAAAACAACCUACAAAAUAAUAUAUAAAUAAAUAUUGCCUAGCACGUGCAAGGGCCUGGGUUCAAUCCUCAGCACCACAUAAAAGUAAAUAAAUAAAGGCAUUGUGUUCAACUACAACUAAAUAAAUAUUUUAUAAAUAAUUUUUAAUAUUUUUUAGUUUUAGGUGGACACAAUAUAUUUAUUUAUUUAUUUUUAAAUUUUAUGUGGUGUUGAGGAUCGAACCCAGCACCCUGUGCAUGCCAGGCAAACAUGGCUACCGCUUGAGCCACAUCCCCAGCCCUAAAUAAAUAUUUUUUAAAAACAAAAUAAAUAGUAUAUUUUAAAUUAAAUAUUAUAAAUUAAAUACAUACUGUUCCAUUCUAACAGCAUUUGUAAAGUGCUUACUACGUGCUAAAGUACUGGUCAAAGUACUU